UCUGUGCCGGUAGCCGUACUAGCUCUGUGAUGUGGGUAAUCUGUUUUAUCUGGAGCAUUGUUUCAGUCCCAAACUAAGGGCUUUGGAAGGUGAGACUGAAAUGGUUCUGUGUGGAGUUGAAUGUUCAUGCUGGGGCCUGGAUACUA